rnacentral:tRNA from 1 species
UCCGGGGUCGUUCAAUGGCAGGACAGCAGUUUUUGGUACUGCUUAUUGGGGUUCGAAUCCCUACCCCGGAG